rnacentral:rRNA from 1 species
AACGAACGCUGGCGGCAUGCCUAACACAUGCAAGUCGAACGAGACCUUCGGGUCUAGUGGCGCACGGGUGCGUAACGCGUGGGAAUCUGCCCUUGGGUUCGGAAUAGCAGUUGGAAACGACUGCUAAUACCGGAUGAUGACGUAAGUCCAAAGAUUUAUCGCCCAAGGAUGAGCCCGCGUAGGAUUAGCUAGUUGGUGAGGUAAAGGCUCACCAAGGCGACGAUCCUUAGCUGGUCUGAGAGGAUGAUCAGCCACACUGAGACUGAGACACGGCCCAGACUCCUACGGGAGGCAGCAGUGGGGAAUAUUGGACAAUGGGCGAAAGCCUGAUCCAGCAAUGCCGCGUGAGUGAUGAAGGCCUUAGGGUUGUAAAGCUCUUUUACCCGGGAUGAUAAUGACAGUACCGGGAGAAUAAGCUCCGGCUAACUCCGUG